rnacentral:lncRNA from 1 species
AGACCUCUAGUGAAACCCAAAAUUGUUGAAAAGAGAACCAGUUUUAUCCAGCAUUAGUCAGACCAGUGUUUCAAAAUUCAGUGUUGCAGGGGGGAGGUGCAAAGGUAUGGGCGUGAGACCAUGGAAACAAUUCAAGGGCCAAAUCCCAGUGCUUGGCACUGGCUAUUAAAGCACCAAGAAAAUAAAGUAUGUGUUGCCCAGUGAUUUCUGGACAUUCCUGAAAACUGGAAGUGCUCUUGAUGUACACCAAAUCUUACUGUGCUGAGCUGGCUCACAGUGUUUGUUCCAAGAGCUGCAAAUCUGUCAUGGAAGACUGUUCCCAAUGCCAGGCAGCACAG